rnacentral:lncRNA from 1 species
ACGCUCUUUUUCAACAUUCCUAGUAAUGAAAAACUGAAUGAUUUUCGGAAUUACAUCUAUCACCCUGCUUGCUUCACAUAUAUAGCCAGGCUUAUGAAUGAUACAAAACAACAGAUGUAUAAUUGACAGGCCAUCCUUGCUGAACUCUUGUCCUGCACUUUGCUGAUAUGAACAUUCAUCGGUGGAAACUGCCCUGCAGUUCUGCAGUAGAUCUCUGAGGCCAAAGAUAGAUAAACGUGCUUAUAUGUUGUAAAUUUGUGAUGGUGAGGCAUUGGAUUUCUUAUAUUUGAGCCAAAUCAUGCUGUGUGUGUGACAAUGUUUCCCAAGUUAUGGGUCAUAGUUUCCGUUAGACCCUCUCUGAAUUCUUUUACAUCUGCUGCUGGGUUUUCCUUGUUCUCUUAACCCAAUUAUCUUUCUUUGGUAUUGGGAUUUUGGGACCUUUUUGAUGAUAUGUGGAUUAGUAUUUCG